UGCCGAGAGACUGUCGGUACAAGUCGUCCUAACAACAUAAGCGAACAACAGAACUGCUAGAGAUCUGACACUCCUGAAUGGUUCUCAAAGAGCCAAAAGAUCCCGAAUGGGCCUCGAGAAGCUCCGGAAACUCCCGAAUGUCACUCGGCUAAUUUCUCCUGCUCCCUAACCAUUCCCCUGUAAUCUCCGACAUUACUGAAUGCUUCUCGGAAAAUUGUAGCGGUUCUGAAAUAUCGGCUGUUUGAAGCUUGAUGCCUGCUCUGACGUUUCCAAAAGCUCUGUCUCGAUUUUCGAGCUCCCGACUAUCUCUCGAGAGGUUCCGAAAGCUCCCGAAUGCUGGUGAGGCACUUCCGACGCUGCGUUCCAACCGGAAGCUGCCGAGUUCUUUGGCAGAGUUUGAAAGGCGGCAUCGAAGGUGCUUGCUAGGAGUGUUUGAACCCGGUUACUGGCCCUUGACGGCUGAUGGCGCUACCAGCCAGCCGCAGAGCUUUUUAUCCACCUCCGUGGCGGCGGUUUGGGAGCCUCGGGCCGGUCCUUGCCCUUGCCUGCCUCAGGCCUUCUCAUGUCUCUCUUUCACCUGGCCCAGGACCGCCUCUUCCCAGUGAGGGCAGAAGAAAGAUCCCGGACUGGGAUGAAGAGAUUUAGGUUCAGGUUCCACCUCAUCUCUGGGCUCCAUUUUGCCAUUGGUGGAAUGAGGUUCCUUGACAGCCUCAGAUAAGCCACGUCUGGUUAUCACCUUCUCACCUUCGGGAGGAGAAGACCUUUCCCUUAGGCUAUGUCCACUGCCUUGUCCCCACCCCUGGAUCUCUGCUUCCCCAACACUUUCCUUACCUCUUCCAGCCUGCAUCCUCUCUGUAGAUCCCUCUUUUCCAUUCCCACUUCUCUUUCUCCUGCCAUCUCCCUCCCGUCUACCCUUCUGGAAGACUUGGGCGGGUAGAGCGGUCUGGGUGUUAAUAACACACUUUUGUGUGACCUCCAGCAGGACACUUGGCCUCCUGAGCCACACUGUCUGGUGUUGUCUUCAUCUGUGGAAUCCCGCUCCUGCCACUUCAUAAGGCUGAGCAGGUGACAGAAGGUAGGAAGUGCUUUGAAAGCUGAAGUUCUGUAAUUAUACAUUAAGAGAUGAAAGGACUUGAAUUUCAACUACUUCCUUACAGCCCUGUAUCAGAUCUUAACAGGUCUGCACAAACUUCCCAAACAGUGCCCUGGAAUUUUUCUUAGACCCGGAAGGUUAGAUCUGAAGGAAACGGCUGUGACUCUCAAGAAUUUACUCCAUCAACUCAAAGCUCAAAGGAGACUGGGUGCUAUUCAACAUCUCCAGUAAUGUUGGGUCCAUACAAUUGAGAUGAGGGUCUACAAAGUCAGAUGCUCGUUGGAGUCAGACACGUCACAUUCCAUGAGGACAACAGAGACCAAGUCUGGUUUGGCCAUCACUGAAUCCCUAGUGCCUAGAACUGCACUGAGCCCAGAGAACAUGCUCUAUAAACAUUUGACCCAUCCUGGAGCCUUAGAGCAAGGACCUCAUGAAUGAUCUGACUGGGAUAGAAUCAAUGGACCAAUGUUAACAUACUUUGGAACAGCAUAACUGGAACAUAGAGAUAUAGUAGGCUACGUUCUCAGCUUAUUCCUUUUUCCCUCAUCUGAUAAAGAAUUAAACACAUAUAUUUUGCCAUAA